GCGGGCGUGGCGGAACUGGCAGACGCGUAUGGUUCAGGUCCAUAUGGAGGCAACUUCUUGGGGGUUCAAGUCCCUUCGCCCGCACCA
rnacentral:tRNA from 1 species